AUAUACCACUAUAUAUUAUACUAGAAUAUGUGUAUAUAGAUAUUUACACCCUGCUGUGAUAUCAACUAGUAAUAAACUAGCUAACACCUGGUGUGAACCGAAAACACAAACAGUCGACAUUCUUUUUUCCACACAAGCAACUGGUAUUCUUACUUGUUAAUGCCAUAUGAGAUGUUUAUUCGGAUUUCGGUCAGAAAGAUAACGGUCUAAUAGCAGAAACAUAAAUAUAAAAGAUAAUUCUACUGAUUGGGUUUCUUGAUCAAUAAACAACUCAUUAGUAAAUAGUUCUGUCCUAUUUAUUUAGAUUUUAUGUAGGAAAAUCUAAUUGUAAAAAGUUAAUUUUUGACUAGUUUGUUGUUUCACUGCAGGGUAUUUAUGGAUCACCAAAUAAUGUCUAAACAUAUGGACAAACAUGCAUAUACACGUAAGAGUAUAUCAUACCUAAAGAGGAAGUAGCACAUACAAAUAUACACUCGUUUCGUUCGCGCUCGUGUGAUUUUCUUUUCCUUAUUGCUUAAUAGAACAUCACUUUUUCUGUUUUUAGAGACCUUAUUUUCGUACUUAACAAUUUUCAAAACACUUGCUUAAUUUUCUUCCAUAUUUAAUAUUUUCAUAAAGUUUUAGUAUUAAACAAAAAUAUUCACAAACAAUUUUUUAAGUACAGUAUCUGGAUAUAUGUGAACGUUACACUUGCGAUCGUCAACUUUAACAAAUAAACUGAUGAACUAGAAUAAACAUGCCAUCAUUCUACCACACUACAAAUACAAUACGGUCACAACACAUAAAUAUUUUCAACUAAAACAUUGCCGCGAUUUAUUUUGGUAGCAUUAAAAUUUUACAAAAAUGGGUUACAUUUUCGGAAGGUAUAAUCGUGAUUGAAAUAUUUGCAUAUGAUGUCAAAAAGUUUAAAUUUUACAAUUUGACUGUGUACAAAUGCAUUAUAUAAUAUUAAUCAUUCUUACAUUGCACCAAGUAACUUGUUACCAAGUCAACAUAAGAUAUGCAGUGUGAGCUGACUAAAAUAUAACAGUACAACAUUCAUCAUGCAUAUUUUUUGAACGCGUAAGAAAGAGAUGCACAUAAAGCUAUACCAAUUUUCAUCAACAACGGCCGCCAUUAUUUGGAAAAAAAUUUUGAGUUCCGAUAAUGAUGAUUACCAAAGAAAGGGUGAUUACUUCCCCUAUAUAGAAGUAGCAGUAGCAACAGUUACAACAACGGCAAUGGCAAUAGCAAUAGCAAGAGCAGCAGCAGCAGCACGGCACAAGCAACAUUUUACUUUAAAUAAUUGUUAAUAUUAUACUUUUCAACAAUUUUUUUAGGUUUAACAAUAAAGUACUUAAAACGUCCGCUGUAAGCGAACAAAAUGAUAUUGACAUCAUGUAAAUGAAAA